rnacentral:rRNA from 1 species
GGGCAUUGGCGCGUGCUAAUAAUGCAGUCGAGCGAAUGGAUUAAGAUCUUGCUCUUAUGAAGUUAGCGGCGGACGGGUGAUUAACACGUGGGUAACCUGCCCAUAAGACUGGGAUAACUCCGGGAAACCGGGGCUAAUACCGGAUAACAUUUUGAACCGCAUGGUUCUAAAUUGAAAGGCGGCUUCGGCUGUCACUUAUGGAUGGACCCGCGUCGCAUUAGCUAGUUGGUGAGGUAACGGCUCACCAAGGCAACGAUGCGUAACCGACCUGAGAGGGUGAUCGGCCACACUGGGACUGAUACACGGCCCAGACUCCUACGGGAGGCAGCAGUAGGGAAUCUUCCGCAAUGGACGAAAGUCUGACGGAGCAACGCCGCGUGAGUGAUGAAGGCUUUCGGGUCGUAAAACUCUGUUGUUAGGGAAGAACAAGUGCUAGUUGAAUAAGCUGGCACCUUGACGGGACCUAACCAAAAAGCCACGGCUAACUACGUGCCAACAGCCGCGGGAAUACCUAAGUGGGAAUCCGUAUCCAAAAAUAUUGGGCAUAAAUCGCGCGCACGCGCGUUUUAUUAAUUCUGAUUUGUAAACUCGCGGGUCUAACCCCCCAGGGGGAUUUUAAAAUGGGAAAAAUUGGAGCGCAAAAGGCGGAGAGCGCCUCCCCAUGUAUCCCUGUAAUGUGCGGAGAUAUGUGGAAGAAGGCCCCGUGGCCGAGGGGGACUCCCCCGGUUUUGCCCCCCACACUGGGGGGUAAAAACCGGGAGGAGCCCCAGGAAUAGAGGGCCCUGUCCAACACCGCCGAAAAUUAUGAGUGCUAAGGGGAAAGAGGGUUUUCGCUUUUGAGGGCUGAAGCUCCCCGCAUUGACGAGCCCCCCCCCCGAGAAUACCGCGGCAUGUCUUUAACUCAUGUGUAUUAGACGGGGGCCCCCGCAUUUGCGCCGAAAAAUGUCGAUAUAAUACGUACGCCCCGCGAAGUAUCUCUCCCGGGUGGUGGACAUCAAAU